GCCGACGUAGCUCAGCUGGUAGAGCAACGCAUUCGUAAUGCGUGGGCCGGGGGUUCAAUUCCUCUCGUCGGCU
rnacentral:tRNA from 1 species